AUUGAACGCUGGCGGCACGCCUUACACAUGCAAGUCGAACGGUAACGCGGGGCAACCUGGCGACGAGUGGCGAACGGGUGAGUAAUGCAUCGGAACGUGCCCAGUAGUGGGGGAUAGCCCGGCGAAAGCCGGAUUAAUACCGCAUACGACCUAAGGGUGAAAGGGGGGGAUCGCAAGACCUCUCGCUAUUGGAGCGGCCGAUGUCAGAUUAGGUAGUUGGUGGGGUAAAGGCCUACCAAGCCGACGAUCUGUAGCUGGUCUGAGAGGACGACCAGCAACACUGGGACUGAGACACGGCCCAGACUCCUACGGGAGGCAGCAGUGGGGAAUUUUGGACAAUGGGCGCAAGCCUGAUCCAGCCAUGCCGCGUGCGGGAAGCAGGCCUUCGGGUUGUAAACCGCUUUUGUCAGGGAAGAAAUCUUCUGAGUUAAUACCUCGGGAGGAUGACGGUACCUGAAGAAUAAGCACCGGCUAACUACGUGCCAGCAGCCGCCGCAGUAA
rnacentral:rRNA from 1 species